GGCGAACGGGUGAGUAACACGUGGGCAAUCUGCCCUUCACUCUGGGACAAGCCCUGGAAACGGGGUCUAAUACCGGAUAACACUCCUGCCUGCAUGGGCGGGGGUUAAAAGCUCCGGCGGUGAAGGAUGAGCCCGCGGCCUAUCAGCUUGUUGGUGGGGUAAUGGCCUACCAAGGCGACGACGGGUAGCCGGCCUGAGAGGGCGACCGGCCACACUGGGACUGAGACACGGCCCAGACUCCUACGGGAGGCAGCAGUGGGGAAUAUUGCACAAUGGGCGAAAGCCUGAUGCAGCGACGCCGCGUGAGGGAUGACGGCCUUCGGGUUGUAAACCUCUUUCAGCAGGGAAGAAGCGAAAGUGACGGUACCUGCAGAAGAAGCGCCGGCUAACUACGUGCCAGCAGCCGCGGUAAUACGUAGGGCGCAAGCG
rnacentral:rRNA from 1 species